AGAGUUUGAUCAUGGCUCAGAUUGAACGCUGGCGGUAUGCUUAACACAUGCAAGUCGAACGGUAACAGGCUAGCUUGCUAGCGCUGACGAGUGGCGGACGGGUGCGUAACGCGUAGGAAUCUGCCUAUUAGUGGGGGACAACAUGGUGAAAACCAUGCUAAUACCGCAUACGCCCUACGGGGGAAAGCAGGGGAUCUUCGGACCUUGCGCUAAUAGAUGAGCCUGCGUUAGAUUAGCUUGUUGGUGAGGUAAUGGCUCACCAAGGCGACGAUCUAUAGCUGGUCUGAGAGGACGAUCAGCCACACUGGGACUGAGACACGGCCCAGACUCCUACGGGAGGCAGCAGUGGGGAAUAUUGGACAAUGGACGAAAGUCUGAUCCAGCAAUACCGCGUGUGUGAAGAAGGCCUGAGGGUUGUAAAGCACUUUCAAUUGGGAGGAAAACAGGCAGGUUAAUAUCCUGUCUCUUGACA
rnacentral:rRNA from 1 species